UGGACACGCACACACAAAGAAUUAAAGAUAAUCCAGUGUAGUAUUGAUGACUGCUCCCAACUAUGUAAUCUUUCAGGUUUUGUGUCCAACAUAAGAAUUCUGGGAGUUGAAUUCCAAAUAUAGGACUUCGCAAAUUUUUCCAAUCACUUUCUUUAGUGCAACAAUUACAAGACAUUUAUAAUAAAACUGUCAAACAGCUCAAUUCAAAGCAUAUCCAGGAUGCACUUAGUUUGGAGGUUGGAG